CUUCAAUUUUUUACUUAGGAUUUUAGAGGUAUUGAUCAUAUCUAUCACUAUACGGUUCGAAAAAUACUUGGUAUCCAGAUCACCCAAAUUUAACAUACCCAUCCAAAGGAGAAUAAACAAUUUAUGUCUAGGGCUAUCCUCCUGUUCUAGGGUAAGCCAUGAUUUAUAUCCCUGUUCCUUAUCUAGUCACUGUAGAAGAUGAGUCGCCAUACAUGCUUCAUGAAUUUUAUCAACAUCUGGAAAUGCUAUUCCACCCUUCUGAUAACUCCUUCGAAGUG